rnacentral:tRNA from 1 species
CAAUGAGGGGCUAAUCCUUCCUCUCCUAACCA